ensembl:lncRNA
GUUCUGUUCCUUCCUCCUCCGCGGCCUGGCCUCCACACCGCGCGUCGCAUCAUGUGAGGGGUCCUCUCUCAAAUGUGUUCGCCGCCCGAAAGCUGUCUGACGAAGUGCUCACAGUGAAGCCAGAGGAAAGCCAGAAGAUGGUUACAGAAGGAAAGUAGUUUGCAAGCUGGUCUGCUACUGUUGGCGAGCCACUGGAGGAUACUUGGUGACCAACUUGUUUUGGUCAUCGAUAGAGAUCGUCCAGGAGGGUGCUUGUCUGGGAAUGACCUUCAUGACCUCACCACCGCUCCGCCCCGGAAAUAUCAACCGCCAACCAGAAGCUCUGUACUACGGCCUACAGGAUGUGGUUGACUGGUCCCAGUGAUGGACAGGUGACCAGCCAGCCCCCUAGCUGCCCUCUCCUGCCGUGACUCCCACCCCUCCGCCCC